rnacentral:lncRNA from 1 species
UUUAAGCUAUGACUUCUAGACACAGGCCCUGUCUGAGCUAUUCCUCUUUUUUUGGCAGAAAGCUGGCCAUUGGGAUCUGACUGAGGGCAAGGCUAUGGUGGAAAGGACAUCUCAGGUCUCAGAGCAGCCAAGACAGAGAUGCCUGAGAUGACAGAGUGGAGCCUGGGUGCUCUGGGGAGCGGAUAUUUGCUGGGAACAUGAGAAAGAAGGUGGAACCAACGCUGAUCAUGAGGCACUUCUUCCUGGGAGCUGUUACCUGGUGGCCUGACUGCUCUAUCGGUCAGGAAAGGAGUCCAGCAGAGGAUAAAGAAAAGUCAUCAAGCCAAUGGCCUUGCGAACCUCCAGUUCCUUCUCCAACCCCGGGUUGAAGCUAUGUCUGCUCAGUGUUGCUUUUAGGCUGAGACAGCUGGGACAUGGCAUAGAGCCACGUCUUUCUCAGUCCAAAGCAGCAUCGAGGGAGCAAGAGAAUAGACUCUUUCCACCAUGCAAUCCUGGAGAGGUAAUUCAGGUGCCCUGCAACUCCCCAUGGUUAUAUACUGAUGAAAACAUCCUUAGCUGAGCGCAC